rnacentral:rRNA from 1 species
UUCAAGCAAGCUUGAAGGUCCUUUGGCCGAAGGCCAGGAAAGAGGAUCAAGAAAGCCGAGCUUUCUUGAUGGAGGGGAGCGGCAGACGGGUGAGUAACGCGUGGGAAUCUACCUAGCUCUACGGAAUAACCCAGGGAAACUUGGACUAAUACCGUAUACGUCCGAGAGGAGAAAGAUUUAUCGGAGUUAGAUGAGCCCGCGUUGGAUUAGCUAGUUGGUGGGGUAAAGGCCUACCAAGGCGACGAUCCAUAGCUGGUCUGAGAGGAUGAUCAGCCACACUGGGACUGAGACACGGCCCAGACUCCUACGGGAGGCAGCAGUGGGGAAUAUUGGACAAUGGGCGCAAGCCUGAUCCAGCCAUGCCGCGUGAGUGAUGACGGCCUUAGGGUUGUAAAGCUCUUUCAACGGUGAAGAUAAUGACGGUAACCGUAGAAGAAGCCCCGGCUAACUUCGUGCCAGCAGCCGCGGUAAUACGAAGGGGGCUAGCGUUGUUCGGAAUUACUGGGCGUAAAGCGCACGUAGGCGGAUACUUAAGUCAGGGGUGAAAUCCCGGGGCUCAACCCCGGAACUGCCUUUGAUACUGGGUAUCUAGAGUAUGGUAGAGGUGAGUGGAAUUCCGAGUGUAGAGGUGAAAUUCGUAGAUAUUCGGAGGAACACCAGUGGCGAAGGCGGCUCACUGGACCAUUACUGACGCU